UUCAUUUGGGGGCUCGGUCUGGGAUCGAGACCUGCCCAGGGACCACCGACCCAAGUCUGGGAGGUUUCUGCUUCUGAAAGACAUCUGAGUACCAGUUGCUGACUACAGGCUGUUCUAAGUAGACUGCGAGCCCUGGACUUGCUAUGGAUAUGAACCAGUCUGCUGAUGUGGACACCCCCUAUCUCUGCAACAGUGUCUGCUAACCAGAAGCCCCUGAUGGAUUCCCCAUUGCCUAAAUUCCUUUUUGCUUUUGACUAGCAUUUCAACCUUCUGGGGUCCCUAACUUCGUCCCAAAGUCAGCAGGAAGCAGUUUGGAAAAGAAUUUCGCCGUCCAUUUUCCCUGGUUAAAAUGCUAAGUCAAAAGGAACUCCCUUGCAUGGGGAUGCGAAACGACAGGGGAUGCUCACUGGAAGCCUUCAUCCUCAUGGGACAAGAUUCAGGUAACCAGAGGAUGGCAAAAGGGCUCCACCGGUACCACCUCUAUGCCUCUCCUUAUUUCCUUUACGGAUGAGAGUAAGAAAGCAACAGAAUGGCAGAAGGGAAAUGCUUGGGGCCUUCGCUAGUACCUGUCGGGACCAGAUGGGGGGGGGGCAUCUUUAAAAUUAGACUCAAAGUAAAAACUAUCACCAACCUGAAUAUGUUUAUAGCGUACUAAAGAAAUCAUCCCGACAUCAGAGGGAGCCAAUAUCCUUAACCAUGGCCCUAUUAUUAGAAGGAGUAACAAUGGGGGGCAUAGCAGCUGGCAUAGGGACCCCUGGUCCCUAUUUUUAAUCCUUAUAUUUGGUCCCUACAUUCUAAUAGACCCAAAAUAUCCAGAGACCUCUGAAUGAAAGAUUCCAUUCAGUUACAAGAGAAAUGGGGGAAUGAAAGACCCCCCGCCCUUAGCUUUUUCUUUUAAGUUUGCCUCCUCCUCCGGUCGGCAGCUCGCAGAGCGCAUGGGGAAUGCAUCCUCCCCUGCACUCCCCGACCCUUGAUCCCCACAGCUGCCGGCUCCCACUUCCCCGCCUCCGCGCAAGGCCGGCCCCCUCCGGAUCGCUCCGUCCCAAGGUUAGCCAUCUGGACGCGGCAGAAGAUAAAGGCCGUUUCGCCUGACUACUACUGUGCCUUUUUCCCCUAUAAAAGGACCCCCCUUCCGGGGCUCAGGGCUUGGCCUAACAGAAGCUAAGUCCCCGGGUACACGCGCCACCAAUAAAGCCUCUUGCUUUUUGC
rnacentral:lncRNA from 1 species